rnacentral:rRNA from 1 species
GUGGGGAAUAUUGCGCAAUGGGCGAAAGCCUGACGCAGCGACGCCGCGUGGGGGAUGAAGGCCUUCGGGUUGUAAACCCCUUUCGGCAGGGACGAAGCGAAAGUGACGGUACCUGCAGAAGAAGCGCCGGCUAACUACGUGCCAGCAGCCGCGGUAACACGUAGGGCGCAAGCGUUGUCCGGAAUCAUUGGGCGUAAAGAGCUCGUAGGCGGUUUGUCACGUCUGCUGUGAAAACUGGGGGCUUAACCCCCAGCUUGCAGUGGAUACGGGCAGACUAGAGGUAGGUAGGGGAGAAUGGAAUUCCCGGUGUAGCGGUGAAAUGCGCAGAUAUCGGGAGGAACACCGGUGGCGAAGGCGGUUCUCUGGGCCUUACCUGACGCUGAGGAGCGAAAGCGUGGGGAGCGAACAGG